UACGGAGGGUGCGAGCGUUGUCCGGAAUCAUUGGGCGUAAAGGGCGCGUAGGUGGCUUCUUAAGCGUGCGGUGAAAGCCUGGGGCUCAACCCCGGGUCGGCCGUGCGAACCGGGGGGCUGGAGCACUGUAGAGGCAGGCGGAAUUCCGGGUGUAGCGGUGGAAUGCGUAGAGAUCCGGAAGAACACCGGGUGGCGAAGGGCG
rnacentral:rRNA from 1 species